rnacentral:rRNA from 1 species
UACGUAGGGUGCAAGCGUUAAUCGGAAUUACUGGGCGUAAAGCGUGCGCAGGCGGUUAUCUAAGACAGUUGUGAAAUCCCCGGGCUCAACCUGGGAACUGCAUCUGUGACUGUAUAGCUAGAGUACGGGAGAGGGGGAUGGAAUUCCGCGUGUAGCAGUGAAAUGCGUAGAUAUGCGGAGGAACACCGAUGGCGAAGGCAAUCCCCUGGACCUGUACUGACGCUCAUGCACGAAAGCGUGGGGAGCAAACAGG